GAUGGAAUCUGGAAUCAUGGAUCGAUCUUUACAGCUGGACUGGUUAGCUAGCACUCUCUGGGGCUCCACCUCCUCCUGCCUUCCGCUCCUGCCUCCAAGUGCUAGACUUAUAGAUGUGUAAUGCCACAACAGGAUUUUAUGGGGUGCUUGACAUCGAAACUCAGGUCCUUACGUGUUUGAAGCAAGACAUUUAUCAACUGAGCUCUUCUCCCAGUCCUAGGAUUAGGAGGACAUGAGUUCGACCCCCAGAAGUCACAUAAAAAAAAAAAAGCUGGGUGUGGUGGCACAUGCUUGUACUCCCAGACCUGGGAAGGUGGAGACAGAAAGAUCCCUGGACUUGCUGACCAGCCAGCCUAGCCUACCGGACAAAUUCCAGGUAUGUCCACCCACUGGAGCAGCAUCGGUGACCUGCCGGGGACCGCACCCUUCAAGAAAUCCUACUCUUCCUCUCCCAGUAGCUAUCAGUUGCCAACAGCGCCUCAGUUAGAGGUGCAACCAAAGGGAGGAGAGAUACAUGAGAAGCAAGUGACAGGACCUUCAUAGGUGCGACACCCGGUGAGAAGGCAAAAGACUGCGAGAUUCAUGGAAACGUCACAGAAGGGAAGGAAGGGAUCCAGAAGGACAGUGGAUUUAGCGAUUGUUUGCAAGUCUUGCGAUGAUAAUAUACGGCUAACUAGGAGAAUGGAAGAAUGGGAUCUCAUCAGCUGAUCCAGAAAGGGGUUUUAAGACCCUUACUGACAAAGCUGCCAUUGGUGUGAGCUGAAAACAGCCCAGUGACGCAGCUAAUUGGAGCAGGUAGAGACCUCAUGGCGGAAGUCCCAAUACCACAUUUGCUCACUUGUCUCAUAGGCGGAAAUGUACUUCAAGAGAAAGCAGGGUGUGUGGGCGCCCUCACCAAGUGCUUAGAUUAGGGGGUCUCAACCUUCUUAGUGCUGUGACCUUUUAAUACAGUUCCUUAUUUGUGGUGACCUCAACUAUAAAAUUAAUUUUGUUGCUACUUCACAACUGUAAUUUUGUUACUGUUAUGAAUUGUAAUAUAAAUAUCUGAUAUGCAGGAUGUCUGUUAUGCAACCCUGUGAAAUGAUCAUUUGACUUCCAAAGGUGUCAUGACCCACAGGUUGAGAACUGUUGACAUAUAUAUCUAUAUCUAUAUCUAUAUAUAUAUAUCACUCUGCUUCUUUUCUUUUCUUUUCUUUUCUUUUCUUUUCUUUUCUUUUCUUUUCUUUUCUUUUCUUUUUAACCAUGUGUGCACGCUACCAAAUCCUUGGCCUCAUGUGAUUAAAUUAUAUAAGGCAGCCAGAGAUUCAGGUGCUAAAUGUGGCUCCAGUGUUUCCCUGCUCCAUUCCACAGUUGCCAAGUAAAGUCUGUCCUACACAGCUCCAACUAUACUACAAACAUUUUACCCACCAAAUAAUUAAUAAUUACAGACACUCACUAACAACCCUAACUCCAGCACUAUUAUCAUUUGACAAAUCCCAUUUUCUAUCUGAAAGAAAAGGAAAUUGUCAAAAUUUUCCUUUUGGGGGCUGGUUUUCCAUUUAGGAGCUAAUCCUUGGAAUUUUCCCAAACAUCUUUGUAGCUGCCUUCAACCUAAUUCAAAAACAUGGCAUUUCCUUAAGCCCUCAUUGACAUUGGAAAAUGGGAAGACCUGGAGUUGGUCCUUAGCUUGGCCUCUACUGGAUG